UACGUAGGGGGCUAGCGUUGUCCGGAAUCAUUGGGCGUAAAGCGCGUGUAGGCGGUCCGGUAAGUCCGCUGUGAAAGUCGAGGGCUCAACCUUCGAAUGCCGGUGGAUACUGUCGGGCUUGAGUACGGGAGAGGCGAGUGGAAUUCCUGGUGUAGCGGUGAAAUGCGCAGAUAUCAGGAGGAACACCGAUUGCGAAGGCAGCUCGCUGGAACGUUACUGACGCUGAGACGCGAAAGCGUGGGGAGCAAACAGG
rnacentral:rRNA from 1 species